rnacentral:rRNA from 1 species
UGAGUUUGAUCCUGGCUCAGAAUGAACGCUAAUAGUAUGCUUUAUACAUGCAAGUUUAACGAAAAUUUAUUUUUCGUGGCGCACGGGUGAGUAGUGAUGUAGAAUGUUACUUUUUAGUUGAGAAUAAGUGUUUAAUAGCAUAAAUUCUGAAUAAUUAAUAAAAGUUAAAUUACUGUUAAUAGUAAUUUUUCUGCUAAAAGAUAGGUCUGCGUAAGAUUAGGUAGUUGGUAAUUUUUAAUAGCUUACCAAGCCUAUGAUCUUUAGUUGGUCUUAGAGGAUGAACAACCACACUGGAACUGAAAUAAGGUCCAGGCUAAUUUUUUGGCCAGCAGUAAGGAAUAUUGGACAAUGAACGAAAGUUUGAUCCAGCAAUACUAUAAGAAUGAUGACAACUGAUAUUGGUUGUAAAGUUCUUUCGUUAAAAAUGAUAAUGACAUUAUUUAAAGAAGUAGUCCCGGCUAAUACUCGUGCCAGCAGCCGCGGUAAAACGAGGGGGACGAGCGUUAUUCAUCAUGACUGGGCGUAAAAGGUUCGUAGACGGUAAAGUAAGUUUCUUGUUAAAGAUUAAAGCCUAACUUUUAAACAGCUUGUAAAUACUGCUUUACUUGAGUUUUAAUACGGGAGAAUAGAAUUUUAUUUGUAAGGUUAAAAUCUAACUAUAAAUAAAGGAAUGCUAGCAGCGGAGGCGAUUCUCUAGUAAAAACUGACGUUGAGGAACGAAAGUAUGGGUAGCAAACAGGAUUAGAAACCCUGGUAGUCCAUACUGUCAAUCAUGAAUGCUGUAAUUUAAUGGUAAUUUAUAAACAAAUUACUUUAGAUUUUUAAGCUAACGCCAUAAGCAUUCCGCCUGAGAAGUACGAUCGCAAGGUUGGAACUCAAAGGAAUUGACGGGGGCCUAAAACUAGUGGUGGGGUAUGUGGUUUAAUGCGAUAAUCCGCGCAAAAUCUUACCAAUUUUUGACAUGAGAAAAGAUUUAUUUUUUAUAAAAAAAGUAAUAAAAUAAAAUUUUCCACAGGUGUUGCACGACUGUCAUCAGCUCGUGUCGUGAGAUUUUUGGUUAAGUCCUUUAACGGGCGUAACUCUUAUCUUUAGUAUAAUAAUUUACGAUUUUUAAAAAUUAACUUAAUUUUAAAAUCGCUUUAAAGAUACAGUCAAUGAUAAAUUGAAAGAAGGUGAGAACUAAGCCAAGUCAAUGUGACCCUUAUAAAUUGGGCUACACACGUGCUACAAUGAAAACUACAGAAAGUUACAAAAAUUUUGAGUAAAUCUUUAAAAGUUUUCCCAGUUCGGAUUGUAAACUGAAACUCGUUUACAUAAAGUUGGAAUCACUAGUAAUCGCAAAUCAGCAUGUUGCGGUGAACAUGUAAAUUGGCCUUGUACACACCGCCCGUCACAUGCAGAAAGUUAGUUUCACUUGAAGGUUAAAUAAUAAAAAAUAUUGAGCCUAUUGAGAAAUUAGUAAUUUGGAUGAAGUCGUAACAAGGUAGUAGUACGGGAACGUGUUGCUGGAAUAUCAUGAAAACCUAAGGUUCAAAUCCUUUUUUCAUGUUUGAAAAUAAUAAUAAAUUUACC